rnacentral:lncRNA from 13 species
GAACGUUCCAGUGCAGUCUAGUGAGUCUAGUGCAGGAAUAGAAAACAAGCCUACAUAGUAUACAUUUUAUGUAAAAUUGAGUUUUAUUGGGAUUGUAACCCGCGAAAAGAUUACGAGACUUGAUAGCGUUUGUAUCUCAUAGCAUAUUGCGAGGCACAGUGCUUCUUCUUUUUCUUCUUUGUUUUGUUGGUACUCGUUCCCAGGCAUUGAAAGCAAAAGCAACGAUAUGACCAUUACUUGUUGAAUCAAACAAUUCUGCAGAAAAAAAUUGUUUAGUAAUGAACAUACGUCCGAACACGUAACGUAACGGCUCGAAACAAAGUGCUGAGACAGCAAGAACUUCAAUAUUUAGUGCAGGCUCAGUCAGGCCACGGCUUUGAUCAAAUCGUUUCAGACGUAAUUAAUGUAUCUGUAAAACUACGAAGUGAUGGAGAAUUUGAAAAGAGCCUUUGACGAGGAGCCCAAAGUACUCGUACCGGUUUUAAUAAGAAAUGACACAAAUGAGUGCAUAUGUAUUAACAAAAA